AUUUUUUUUUUGUCCCCGUAGCAUGAAUGUCAGCAUCAUCAUUCAAAGAACAAGAAACAUUCUAAGAAAUCUAAAAAACAUCAUAGGAAACGUUCCCGCUCUCGAUCGGGGUCAGAUUCAGAUGAUGAUGAUAGCCAUUCAAAGAAAAAAAGACAGCGAUCAGAGUCUCGUUCUGCUUCAGAACAUUCUUCUAGUGCAGAGUCUGAGAGAAGUUAUAAAAAGUCAAAAAAGCAUAAGAAGAAAAGUAAGAAGAGGAGACAUAAAUCUGACUCUCCAGAAUCCGAUGCUGAGCGAGAGAAGGAUAAAAAAGAAAAAGAUCGGGAAAGUGAAAAA
rnacentral:lncRNA from 1 species